rnacentral:snoRNA from 1 species
CCGCAGCCCGUUAAGCCGACCAGCUAGCUUCCUUUACUCAUGGGGAACUGGUGUGUAGUGGCUGCAAACAGUAACCUACUUGGUAAUGUAUACAGCUUGUUGCUUCUGUGGGUUAUCCUAAGGGACCUUGGAGACAGGU